rnacentral:rRNA from 1 species
UUCGGACUGGUGGCGAGCGGCGGACGGGUGAGUAACGCGUAAGAAUGUACCCCAAACUGAGGGAUAAGCACCAGAAAUGGUGUCUAAUACCGCAUGUGCACUUCGGUGUAAAGCUUCGGCGGUUUGGGAACAGCUUGCGUAUGAUUAGCUAGUUGGUGAGGUGAUGGCUCACCAAGGCGACGAUCAUUAGCUGGUCUGAGAGGAUGAUCAGCCACACUGGAACUGAGACACGGUCCAGACUCC